rnacentral:rRNA from 1 species
GACGAACCGAGCGAACGUUGUUCGGAAUCACUGGGCUUAAAGGGCGCGUAGGCGGGUGCUCAAGUCCGGGGUGAAAUCCCACAGCUCAACUGUGGAAUUGCCUCGGAUACUGGGUGUCUCGAGGGUGGUAGGGGUAUGCGGAACUAUCGGUGGAGCGGUGAAAUGCGUUGAUAUCGAUAGGAACUCCGGUGGCGAAGGCGGCAUACUGGGCCGACUUCUGACGCUGAUGCGCGAAAGCCAGGGGAGCAAACGGG